AUAAAAUAUAAUAGUUUUGUUUGUGGAAACACCAAGUAAAUUUAUUACUACAGUAAUAAAUUUACUUGGUGUUUCCACAAACAAAACUAUUAGAUGUAAUCUUGUUUAUU
rnacentral:miRNA from 1 species